rnacentral:rRNA from 1 species
CCAUUCGAAUUGCUUCACAUGGACCUCUUUGGUCCUAAUCAUUGCUCAACUGUCACAAAUGAUGCAUCUCUCUAUGGCUUUGUUAUUGUUGAUGAUUACUCUCGAUACACAUGGGUACACAUUGUUACUUACAAACAUGAAGUGCAGGAAGUCUUCAAACGAUUUUCCUCGAGGGCUUCAACCAAGUUUGGUGUGAAGAUCAAGCACAUCAGAAGUGACAAUGGAACUGAGUUCAAGAAUUCUGGUCUUGAUGACUAUCUUGAUGAACUUGGUAUUACUCAUGAGUUAUCUGCUCCUUACACUCCUCAGCAGAAUGGCGUCGUGGAG